rnacentral:rRNA from 1 species
UGGUGGGUUGCCUUGUCAGGUUGAUUCCGGUAACGAACGAGACCUCAGCCUGCUAAAUAGUCACUGCUACUUUUGUAGCUGGCAGACUUCUUAGAGGGACUACAUGCGUUUAGCAUGUGGAAGUGUGAGGCAAUAACA